rnacentral:rRNA from 1 species
GGUUUGAUCCCGCCCAGAUUGAACGCUGGCGGGAUGCUUUACACAUGCAAGUCGAACGGCAGCACGGACUUCGGUCUGGUGGCGCGAGUGGCGAACGGCAGCAGUAUCGGAACGUGCCUAGUAGCGGGGGAUAACUACGCGAAAGCGUAGCUAAUACCGCAUGGCUGGCCUCGGGGGAAAGCGGGGGGACCUUCGGGCCUCGCACCAUUAGAGUGGCUGAUAUCGAUAUUGGUUAGGUAACGGCUCUACCAAGGCGACGAUCCGUGGCUGGUUUGAGAGACGACCAGCCACAUCGGGACCGAGACACCGCCCAGACUCACGUGAGGCAGCAGGGAAUUUUGGACAAUGGGGAAAUCUGAUCCAUAUCCGGCGGUGGGUGAUGAAGGCCUUCGGGUUGUAAAGCACUUUUGGCAGGAAAAGAAACGGCACGGAUAAUACCCUGUGAACACGACGGUACUGCAGAAUAAGCACCGGCUAACUACGUGCCAGCAGCCGCGGUAAUACGUAGGGUGCAUGUUAAUCGGAAUUACUGGGGCGCGUAAAGCGUGCGCAGGCGGUUCGAAAGGAAAGAUGGGGAAAUCCCAGAGCUUAACUUUGGAACUGCAUUUUUAACUACCGGGAGCUGAGUGUGUCAGAGGGAGGUGAAUUCCGUGAAGGCAAUGCGUAGAUAUGCGGAGGAACACCGAUGGCGAAGGCAGCCUCCUGGGAUAACACUGACGCUCAUGCACGAAAGCGUGGGGAGCAAACAGGAUUAGAUACCCUGGUAGUCCACGCCCUAAACGAUGUCAACUAGCUGGGGCCUUCUGGGCCCGGUAGCGCAGCUAACGCGUGAAGUUGACCGCCUGGGAGUACGGUCGCAAGAUUAAAACUCAAAGGAAUUGACGGGGACCGCACAAGCGGUGGAUGAUGUGGAUUAAUCUGAUGCAAAUGCGAAAAACCUUACCUACCCUUGACAUGUCUGGAAUCCCGAAGAGAUUUGGGAGUGCUCGCAAGAGAACCGGAACACAGGUGUUGCAUGGCUGCCGCUCGUGUCGUGAGAUGUUGGGUUAAGUCCUGCAACGAGCGCAACCCCUUGUCAUUAGUUGCUACGAAAGGGCACUCUAAUGACCGCUGGUGACAAACCGGAGGAAGGUGGAUGACGUCAAGUCCAUGGCCCUUAUGGGUAGGGCUUCGGCCAUCAUACAAUGGUCGGGACAGAGGGACAACCCGCGAGGGGAUGCCAUCCAGAAACCCGAUCGUAGUCCGGAUCGCAGCGUAACCUCGACUGCGCGAAGUCGGGAAUCGCUAGGUAAUCGCGGAUCAGCAUGUCGCGGUAUGUUCCCGGGUCUUGUACACACCGCCUGUCACACCAUGGAGUGGGUUUUACCAGAAGUAGUUAGCCUAACCGUAAGGAGGGCGAUUGGCUACGGUAGGAUUCAUGAUCAGUAGCAGUCAACAAGGUAG